CAAGACUCCACCAGCCCAUGUAUGGCUGCCCGGCUGCCCCCAGCCUUGCCCUCAGUUCUUCCCCAAGGGCAUGUCCUGUUGAGAGCCGGUUUCACCUGUGCAGUGUGGCCUGAUGGCCCAGCAUCCAGGAGCUCUGCGCACCCUGCCGCCAUGGGCCAUCCGUCCCCAGACCUCUUCCCACAGGGUCACUGUGGUCCACCGUCCUGCCCUCGGGGAAUCUCGGCCUCCCUCUCACAGGCCCCGCCCACGGACUCAUUCACUGAUGCCAUCGCUGGACCCAAGUCAGUCAGAUGAACAGUAGGAUGGUGUCAGAGCCUCGACCUCGGGAAGCACAGGAUGAGAACAAUGCAGCUGCCUCCCCGGGCCGUCAACCCCAGCACGGAAAACUCACACUGGUCCUCACUCCAGCCUGAAUGCUCCUGCUGAGGCCAGCUCUGCUCUGUCCCAUUCUGUCAUCAUUAAAGAGAGAAGGGAUGGCCACAUCUACCUGGAAUAACCACUUCCUCCUCUGAACACAGCUCUCAUCUGGAGCCCCGACGUGUCAUAUUCCUCCACCUUCCUGGAGGGAGGAAGUGCCCCAGUAGGCUGACAGCUGAGCUUUAAUUCUGCUCCACAGCCAAUCCAGGUUUUCUCAAUACUAUCUCUGUGGAAAAGUGCAUAAAACAGCAAGAAUAAUUGGCAUAAAUGAGACAAAUGUAACCCAGAAGCUUAGUCCCAAAAUGCACACUGAAAGUAAAUUCAUAAAAAUAUAAAUGAAAGCAAGUUUUCUUUAUAUUUAAAUAUAACAAAGCUACCUAUUGAUAAAGGGGGCCUUCUCCACACCCAGGUCCAGGACUAUGUUCCUUGCCUUAUUUUUUCUUAUAACGCUUACCACCUUUAAAUGAAGCAAAAACAAAUGAAUCAAUAAAUCAUAUAAUUAACUUUUAUUGUAUUUACUGCCUUCAAUCGCUAGAAUGUAAGUUCUCCUGAAUACAAGGAAUGUUCACAGUAUU
rnacentral:lncRNA from 1 species